AACGAACGCUGGCGGCAUGCCUAACACAUGCAAGUCGAACGAGACCUUCGGGUCUAGUUGCGCACGGGUGCGUAACGCGUGGGAACCUGCCCUUAGGUUCGGAAUAACUCCCCGAAAGGGGUGCUAAUACCGGAUAAUGUCUUCGGACCAAAGAUUUAUCGCCUUUGGAUGGGCCCGCGUUGGAUUAGCUAGUUGGUAGGGUAAAAGCCUACCAAGGCGACGAUCCAUAGCUGGUCUGAGAGGAUGAUCAGCCACACUGGGACUGAGACACGGCCCAGACUACUACGGGAGGAAGCAGUGGGGAAUAUUGGACAAUGGGCGAAAGCCUGAUCCAGCAAUGCCGCGUGAGUGAUGAAGGCCUUAGGGUUGUAAAGCUCUUUUACCCGGGAUGAUAAUGACAGUACCGGGAGAAUAAGCGCCGGCCAACUCCGUG
rnacentral:rRNA from 1 species